GACGAACGCUGGCGGCGUGCUUAACACAUGCAAGUCGAGCGAACAGAUUUCCUUCGGGGAUGAAGCUAGCGGCGGACGGGUGAGUAACACGUGGGCAACCUGCCUUAUAGAGGGGGAUAGCCUUCCGAAAGGAAGAUUAAUACCGCAUAACAUCAGAUUAUCGCAUGGUAGACUGAUCAAAGGAGCAAUCCGCUAUAAGAUGGGCCCGCGUCGCAUUAGCUAGUUGGUGAGGUAACGGCUCACCAAGGCGACGAUGCGUAGCCGACCUGAGAGGGUGAUCGGCCACAUUGGGACUGAGACACGGCCCAGACUCCUACGGGAGGCAGCAGUGGGGAAUAUUGCACAAUGGGGGAAACCCUGAUGCAGCAACGCCGCGUGAGUGAUGAAGGCCUUCGGGUUGUAAAGCUCUUUGAUCAGGGACGAUAAUGACGGUACCUGAAGAACAAGCCACGGCUAACUACGUGCCAGCCGCCGCAGUAACAC
rnacentral:rRNA from 1 species